rnacentral:rRNA from 1 species
UACGUAGGGUGCGAGCGUUAAUCGGAAUUACUGGGCGUAAAGUGUGCGCAGGCGGCCGAGCAAGUCGAGUGUGAAAGCCCCGAGCUUAACUUGGGAACUGCGCUCGAAACUACUUGGCUAGAGUGUGGCAGAGGGAGGUGGAAUUCCACGUGUAGCGGUGAAAUUCGUAGAUAUCGGGAGGAACACCAGCGGCGAAGGCGGCACUCUGGGCUGGAACUGACGCUGAGGAGCGAAAGCGUGGGUAGCAAACAGG